rnacentral:misc_RNA from 1 species
GAUGAAGAACGCAGCGAAAUGCGAUACGUAGUGUGAAUUGGAGAAUUCAGUGAAUCAUCGAAUCUUUGAACGCACAUUGCACCUCUCGGUAUUCCGGGAGGUAUGCCUGUUCGAGCGUCAUUUGUACCCUCAAGCUCUGCUUGGUGUUGGGUGUUUGUUCCGCCUCUGUGUGUGAACUCGCCUCAAAACAAUUGGCAGCCGGCGUACUUGUUUCGGAGCGCAGCACAUUUUGCGAUCCAGAUCAACGUACAGCGGCAUCCAAGAAGCCUUAUUUAACGCUCUUGACCUCGGAUCAGGUAGGGAUACCCGCUGAACUUAAGCAUAUCAAUAAGCGGAGGA